UACGUAGGGUGCAAGCGUUGUCCGGAAUUAUUGGGCGUAAAGAGCUCGUAGGCGGUUUGUCGCGUCUGCUGUGAAAACCCGAGGCUCAACCUCGGGCCUGCAGUGGGUACGGGCAGACUAGAGUGCGGUAGGGGAGAUUGGAAUUCCAGUGGUGUGAGCGAUGACGAGAUAUCAGGAGGAACACCAGUGGCGAAGGCGGAUCUCUGGGCC
rnacentral:rRNA from 1 species